rnacentral:rRNA from 1 species
UUGAUUAUGGCUCAGGAUGAACGCUAGCUACAGGCUUAACACAUGCAAGUCGAGGGGCAGCAUGAUCGAAGCUUGCUUCAAUUGAUGGCGACCGGCGCACGGGUGAGUAACACGUAUCCAACCUGCCGAUAACUCGGGGAUAGCCUUUCGAAAGAAAGAUUAAUACCCGAUAGUAUAGUAUUUCCGCAUGGUUUCACUAUUAAAGAAUUUCGGUUAUCGAUGGGGAUGCGUUCCAUUAGAUAGUUGGCGGGGUAACGGCCCACCAAGUCAACGAUGGAUAGGGGUUCUGAGAGGAAGGUCCCCCACAUUGGAACUGAGACACGGUCCAAACUCCUACGGGAGGCAGCAGUGAGGAAUAUUGGUCAAUGGACGAGAGUCUGAACCAGCCAAGUAGCGUGAAGGAUGACUGCCCUAUGGGUUGUAAACUUCUUUUAUACGGGAAUAAAGUGGAGUAUGCAUACUCCUUUGUAUGUACCGUAUGAAUAAGGAUCGGCUAACUCCGUGCCAGCAGCCGCGGUAAUACGGAGGAUCCGAGCGUUAUCCGGAUUUAUUGGGUUUAAAGGGAGCGUAGGCGGGUGCUUAAGUCAGUUGUGAAAGUUUGCGGCUCAACCGUAAAAUUGCAGUUGAUACUGGGCGCCUUGAGUGCAGCAUAGGUAGGCGGAAUUCGUGGCGUAGCGGUGAAAUGCUUAGAUAUCACGAAGAACUCCGAUUGCGAAGGCAGCCUACUGGACUGUAACUGACGCUGAUGCUCGAAAGUGUGGGUAUCAAACAGGAUUAGAUACCCUGGUAGUCCACACAGUAAACGAUGAAUACUCGCUGUUGGCGAUACACAGUCAGCGGCCAAGCGAAAGCAUUAAGUAUUCCACCUGGGGAGUACGCCGGCAACGGUGCAACUCAAAUGAAUUGACGG